GGCCAGCGGAGUUCUCAGUAGCGGCGCUUUAACGUUGGGGUUUUGGUGGGGGUUGUUGCAGUGGUUCCUGCCCGCUGGGUGCGGCCUCAGGGGGAGCAUCAGCUCUGUGGCCCUGGCCCUCGCCCUCAUCCCCAGCCUGGUCCUUGGCGGCCUCCCGAGGAAACCUCAAGCCCGCGGUCAGAAAAGGGACCCAAGGGAGCAGGGUCGCUGGGCCGGGCCGGGCCAGCGUCUGCUCCCCAGCACAGGUGUUGCUUCUACAGCCUGCUUGCCAGACAGGUGGUUUGCAGUGUGAGGUGUUCUGUUUGUUGGGGUCAUCUCUCUUGCCCCCUGAUAAAUGUUCUGCUAGCUCAGCUACUCCGGCUAAGUGUGUGAAAAAUCGUGUUCCUUUCUUGAAUUCCUGCAGCGUGACUGUUCUUCGAGUGAGAUGUUACCCCAGAAAAGCCUGCCUUUACUGCUUGUUUCCUCUGGGGAAUGAGUGGAGCUUCCACAGGUGUCCUUUUGUUGAUAGAAACUGUGACUUUCCGGAUCUAUUAUAUGGCAAUUACCUCCAUGUAGGAAAAUUAGCAAGGCCAUGUCUAUGAAAAUGGACCUUUUUUAAUCUCUCAACAUAUGUGCUGUGGCUGCUGUGCUCUCUCUGCUGAUGGCCGCCAGUAGUGAUACCAAGCUCUUUGUGUAUGAAUCAAUGUUCAUGCUCUGGAAGACUUGUUCUGGGGUUGCUGCUUCGACUAUUUAAGGCCAUGGAAAUGUAUCUCAAAGGACAAGCUUUCAGAAGGAGCCCAGUGCCCACAGAAGGACACUCAAACUUUUUGCCUUGUUUUUGCUGGUCAAAUCUCUUGACAAUGCUGUGGAGAGUUGAAGAACAGACAAGGAAUGUUAAAUGAGGAUGCAUUUUGACGGAGCUCCAGGAGCAGCUAGGCUUCACUGCAGAGACAGGAUCACCCUGUCUCAGAAGAGUUUGCCCCAAAGUUUGGACACUUUGCCAGGGAAACAAUGCAACAAAAGUAUGCCUGUGAAAGUCAUCUCCCCUGAAAGUAAUGGUUGUGGGUGUUUGUAACUCAUCCUUAUGAAAGGCUACAAAAUUAUGUGUGCGUUUUCACUUACCGAUCUCCCAAAUGAUCUCUCCGGAUCAUCGCCAAAAGCAGAAGAGAGACAUUUUGUGUUAAAAUAGAUCUGCAGCAAGCUAAAUCUGGUAAUUUGGCUAUGAGCCAACCACUGUAUUCUGUCAGUGUGGCAGCCUGAGGGAGCUGCCUUUUAGCUCUCCUGUAAGCAGCUGACUGCACGGUGGUGAUCUCCCCUGGAGCUGGGACACCUCUCAUGGUUACUCCUUGAAGUUGAGAGACCCUUUACCAACUGCAGAUCUUUGGGUGGCUGUCAUCUGUGAUACAGCAUUUGCACCAGCCUCCUCCAGAGGGAUCCGAGGGCCUCGUCUAGCAGCUGUAUUCUGGUGGUGAUUCUCCUUCCGUUCCAGAAAGAAAAGUGGAUCCAAGAAGUCAAAAUGUGUGACACUGAGAGUUAAACCAGAUAUUAUAGGUCAGGGAGGCCAGUCUGCUCCCAAUAAGAGUCCCAACUCUUUCUGUGUCCCUUAGUGCUCCAAACUGAGACCCUCUGGUGACAGGAAAAAGUGGAAACCAUGGCCUGCGACUGAGUAGGAGUCCAUUACACCUAUGCGUGUAUUUUUUCUGAUUGGGAAAUAAGCAAUAAAUCUCAACAUGUCAGCUUUAUAGGAGUGAAAAGUGCUUUGGCUCCCUUAUGAGCAUCAACAUGUGCAAAUCGGGCUGGUUAAAUGGAAAGAAAUACUGGUUCUUACAGUAAGCAACAACUACUUUUCCACAUACGUUUUAGAAUGGAAAUUCCAUUUUUAGAAUAGAUUUCUAAUAGCUGUUAUCUAAUUUAGAUAGUCUAAUACAUACUUAAUUUAGAGUCAUGUUAAGUGAAGUGUUGGCAUAGUGUUAGCAUACUGCAAAUGUGAAUAAAGUUAUGUUAGAGCCAGGGAAUAUCAUGCCCCAAAUUAUUGUGGAGUUAUAUGCACCACGUGUAGCUGUUUAAUGAAUAGAUAGAAAACAGGAAGAUUUUCAGAGUCUGACUUUCUGGCGCUUGCCCCGGUGUCGCCUGUUGCAGUGGCCGCUGCUUUCCCUGUUUCUGAUACACCAGGAUCCGUUCGGCAGCUUUGCAAGCGUGGGGCAGGCAGUGAGCGAGCAUUGCUGAGGCCGUGGGUGCCUGGGCGGGAGAAGCUGACCCUGCGACACCAAAGCCUGUGGGACCUCGUGAGGGUCCCCCCUGCACCACAGUGACGCUGGGACGGAGCCGUCACUUUAGGCUGUGAUCCACAGGAGGAGUUUCUUCCUGAUCCAUCCAGGAAAUAAAACACCUGUUCAUGUGUUAAAUAACGAACAGGUUUAGAUGCUUUACAAACUUGGUUUAACAUCUUCCUAAGCACAAUGAUGCUCUAACAAGUCUCCAGGGUCAGUCACAGGCUGUGUCUAAUCACUGAUUUUUCCUUCCUUUGCAUUCAGUGUAAUUAAAUGUUCUCUUAAAAACCA